UGAACAAGCCCAUUAUAGUUCAUCACAGGUGAGUGACCCGGUAGGUUUUUGUCACAGUUAUCAGCCCCUCUAUAUAAAGGCCAGAGCUGCCAGCUCAGCUCACAAGAUGAGGACAUCCCACCAGACAGGUCGGCUGCCUCCUACGGAGCUGGUGCUCCCGCUGCGGAGAUCUUGAAAGCCAUAAUCUUCUCCGGAAAUGGCAAGGUACAGACGCAGCAGGAGCAGAAGCAGGAGCCGUCGCAGAAGGCGACGAAGGGGAGGCCGCGGGGGUCGACAUGGAAGGAGGAGAAGACGACAUGGCAGAAGGAGAAGAGGUCGUAGAGGUAGAGAGCGAACUCGGAGGAGGAGGAGGAGGAGAAGAAGGAGUUUUUAAUUUCCUGAUUUCUCCCAUUCUCCUGUGCAAAUCCUCGACCCUUCACUCUGCGAUAUCUGCUAUGGCAAA